CAGAAAGUACAGAUUUGCGCCUUCAAACAUAAGGAGUCAGAAUAAAAGGUUUUCAGAAUAAUCAAUGCACAAGCACAGAUGCCUGAGAAGUCAGAAACAAAAUAUUUGUGUAUUGUUCCUUCCCACCAUUGUUUUGUCAUGUACUUGUAAUUGUCUUAUCUUUGUCAGGGUUCGCAAGGAGAGGCAGGCACACCUGGUCCCAAAGGGUCAAAGGGCGAAAGUGGAGACAAAGGAGACUUUGGGCCUUCAGGGCCAAAGGGCCCGCCUGGGCAAAAAGGAGACCAGGGGGCCACUGAAAUUAUUGACUACAAUGGGAACAUUCAGGAAGCGUUGAAGG